UACGGGGGGGGCAAGCGUUGUUCGGAAUUACUGGGCGUAAAGGGCUCGUAGGUGGCCAACUAAGUCGGACGUGAAAUCCCUCGGCUUAACCGGGGAACUGCGUCUGAUACUGGAUGGCUUGAGUUCGGGAGAGGGAUGCGGAAUUCCCAGUGUAGAGGUGAAAUUCGUAGAUAUUGGGAAGAACACCGGUGGCGAAGGCGGCCAUCUGGACCGCAACUGACGCUGAGGCGCGAAAGCGUGGGGAGCAAACAGG
rnacentral:rRNA from 1 species